CUUCCCCUUGACUACCACAUUUUCUCCUGAGGGUAGAUCUUGGUGGCUGUGCUUACGGGGUGGAGUGAAGCGGCCGGGGUCUGCAGAGGGAGGGUCUGUCCGUGUCCUCCUCCUCCACGAAGUGGCUGCACAGAGCACU